rnacentral:rRNA from 1 species
GGGGGGCAAGCGUUGUUCGGAAUUACUGGGCGUAAAGGGCUCGUAGGCGGCCAACUAAGUCAUACGUGAAAUCCCUCGGCUUAACCGGGGAACUGCGUCUGAUACUGGAUGGCUUGAGUUCGGGAGAGGGAUGCGGAAUUCCAGGUGUAGCGGUGAAAUGCGUAGAUAUCUGGAGGAACACCGGUGGCGAAGGCGGCAUCCUGGACCGAUACUGACGCUGAGGAGCGAAAGCCAGGGGAGCAAACGGG